rnacentral:rRNA from 1 species
CAAAGGAGUGAUCCGGCAGAGGAUGGACAUGCGGCGCAUUAGCUAGUCGGCGGGGUAACGGCCCACCGAGGCUACGAUGCGUAGGGGUUCUGAGAGGAAGGUCCCCCACACUGGUACUGAGACACGGACCAGACUCCUACGGGAGGCAGCAGUGAGGAAUAUUGGUCAAUGGGCGGAAGCCUGAACCAGCCAAGUCGCGUGAGGGAAGACGGUCCUAUGGAUUGUAAACCUCUUUUGCAGGGGAGCAAGGCGCGGUACGUGUACCGCGAAGGAGAGUACCCUGAGAAAAAGCAUCGGCUAACUCCGUGCCAGCAGCCGCGGUAAUACGGAGGAUGCGAGCGUUAUCCGGAUUUAUUGGGUUUAAAGGGUGCGCAGGCGGACUGUUAAGUCAGCGGUAAAAUGUCGGUGCUCAACACCGGCCGGCCGUUGAAACUGGCAGCCUUGAGUGAGCGAGAAGUAUGCGGAAUGCGUGGUGUAGCGGUGAAAUGCAUAGAUAUCACGCAGAACUCCGAUUGCGAAGGCAGCAUACCGGCGCUCAACUGACGCUCAGGCACGAAAGCGUGGGUAUCGAACAGGCUUAGAUACCCUGGUAGUCCACGCAGUAAACGAUGAAUGCUCACUGUCCGGGCCGUUUAAGGCCUGG